rnacentral:tRNA from 1 species
UGGGGAGAUAGCUCACUUGGUAGAGUGUUUGCCUCGCAUGCAUAAGACCCUGGAUUCAAUCCCCAGCACCACAA